GCCUGGGUGGCUCAGUCGGUUGAGCAUCUGACUUUGGCUCAGGUCAUGAUCUCAUAGUUUGUGGGUUCAAGCCCUGCAUCGGGCU
rnacentral:tRNA from 1 species